GGAAUUCACAAACCGCGAGAUCACGACCUGAGCUGAAGUCGGUUGCUUAACCGACUGAGCCGCCCAGACAUCCCAGAAAUAGGUUUCUUCUAAAUGGCGGUAAACGUUUAUCGGAAUCCUUGCUGCAAGGGAUGCAGAUGGCUAGUGUUCGAGACCUUAAUCUGUGGCGCAGGAGGAAAGGCAGUUACUGGGUUGAAUAACAAGUACCCAAAACGUCUUUGGCGUAUAGACAACGGCAUCCACACUACGUGUACUCGCCUGUACACGAAGAGCUGUGCAUUUAUGUGCGUAGAAGUGAGGAGAUUCAACACGUGGACUUAGAGGAGUGUGUUUGGCUGCUUCCCAAUGAAGUGUGAAGUGUUCUAAGAGACAACACAGGACAAUUUCCUCUGAUGGCGAAGUUUUCCAAAGAGUGAUUGCUUCACUCUUUCUGGGCUUUUGCUGCUCUGACUUCGGAGUGAUAUUGAACGGACGCGGAGCUCUAGGUCUGGCAUCUUUGAAGAAACUGUAGAGGUUGGGAGGCAUGUUGGCUCAACCUUGUCUUCAGUUUAAAGCAUUAAUCCUGUCCUUCUUUUUAAAAAAUGGUCGCAUAAUAACAUAUGAACAAAUAGUAAAUAGCUGCCAUUGAUCAAGCACUUACCCUGUG